rnacentral:rRNA from 1 species
AUUGAACGCUGGCGGCAUGCCUUACACAUGCAAGUCGAACGGCAGCGCGGGUGCUUGCCCCUGGUGGCGAGUGGCGAACGGGUGAGUAAUACAUCGGAACAUGUCCUGUAGUGGGGGAUAGCCCGGCGAAAGCCGGAUUAAUACCGCAUACGAUCUACGGAUGAAAGCGGGGGACCUUCGGGCCUCGCGCUAUAGGGUUGGCCGAUGGCUGAUUAGCUAGUUGGUGGGGUAAAGGCCUACCAAGGCGACGAUCAGUAGCUGGUCUGAGAGGACGACCAGCCACACUGGGACUGAGACACGGCCCAGACUCCUACGGGAGGCAGCAGUGGGGAAUUUUGGACAAUGGGCGAAAGCCUGAUCCAGCAAUGCCGCGUGUGUGAAGAAGGCCUUCGGGUUGUAAAGCACUUUUGUCCGGAAAGAAAUCCUUGGCCCUAAUACGGUCGGGGGAUGACGGUACCGGAAGAAUAAGCACCGGCUAACUACGUG